CUAUGUUAAUAUACUUAAGCUAGAGGAGGGGAGAGCACCCAGAGAUCCAGAGUGGAUGCCUGUGGCCAGCCUCCUGCAAGCAGCCCCCCUGGGUUUGAUCAGCACCAGCACAUUGUUUAAAAUCUACCUGAAGUGGGCAGCCCAGGAGUGUCAUGUCGCUAUGUCACUAUCUACAGCCAGCACUGAAGUAAAUACAUGUGUAGUAUAUACACACAUUAUGUAUUAUAUGUAAUGUGUGUAUAUGUAGUAUAUAUGAUAUAGUAAUAUAUAAUAUAUAUUAUAUAUAAUGUGUAUAUAUUCUCUGUUUACACAUACAUACACAUAUAUGCAGAGAAAUCUAAAAUAAUAUUUCUAAUGUAUGUUAAUAGUGGGUAUCUCUGGGUAGUGACAUUAUGGGUGAGAUUAGACUUUGUAAUUUCCAAAUUUUUCUCAGGGAGUUAGAGUAUUAGUUUUCUACCGAUGCUAUAAAAAUUAUCACAAAUUUAAUGGUUUAAGUGAUGCAUAUUUAUUAUCUUACACUUCUCUCCGUCUCCUGGGGCUGAGCA
rnacentral:lncRNA from 1 species